rnacentral:rRNA from 2 species
GGCGUNAAGAGAGUGCAGGCGGUUUUCUAAGUCUGAUGUGAAAGCCUUCGGCUUAACCGGAGAAGUGCAUCGGAAACUGGAUAACUUGAGUGCAGAAGAGGGUAGUGGAACUCCAUGUGUAGCGGUGGAAUGCGUAGAUAUAUGGAAGAACACCAGUGGCGAAGGCGGCUACCUGGUCUGCAACUGACGCUGAGACUCGAAAGCAUGGGUAGCGAACAGGAUUAGAUACCCUGGUAGUCCAUGCCGUAAACGAUGAGUGCUAGGUGUUGGAGGGUUUCCGCCCUUCAGUGCCGGAGCUAACGCAUUAAGCACUCCGCCUGGGGAGUACGACCGCAAGGUUGAAACUCAAAGGAAUUGACGGGGGCCCGCACAAGCGGUGGAGCAUGUGGUUUAAUUCGAAGCUACGCGAAGAACCUUACCAGGUCUUGACAUCUUGCGCCAACCCUAGAGAUAGGGCGUUUCCUUCGGGAACGCAAUGACAGGUGGUGCAUGGUCGUCGUCAGCUCGUGUCGUGAGAUGUUGGGUUAAGUCCCGCAACGAGCGCAACCCUUGUUACUAGUUGCCAGCAUUAAGUUGGGCACUCUAGUGAGACUGCCGGUGACAAACCGGAGGAAGGUGGGGACGACGUCAGAUCAUCAUGCCCCUUAUGACCUGGGCUACACACGUGCUACAAUGGACGGUACAACGAGUCGCGAACUCGCGAGGGCAAGCAAAUCUCUUAAAACCGUUCUCAGUUCGGACUGCAGGCUGCAACUCGCCUGCACGAAGUCGGAAUCGCUAGUAAUCGCGGAUCAGCAUGCCGCGGUGAAUACGUUCCCGGGCCUUGUACACACCGCCCGUCACACCAUGAGAGUUUGUAACACCCAAAGUCGG